rnacentral:lncRNA from 1 species
CCCCCUCUUUUCUCAUCCCCCUUCAUACACAAACACGUUACAGAGAAAGAGAAACAGAGAGGGAGAAAACAGCGAUCAUCAUACCAACCAAGAAAUACAUAUAACAUCGAUCCUUAUUGCCCCAAUUCAUCCUUGAUUUUGCUCACUUUGUUUUCACAUAGAUGAAGAGGUUCAACCCAACGAUUGCAUCAAAAUCUACACGGACGAGAUUCGAAGAGCAUUAUGCAAGCACAACAGGGAUAAUCCAAGUCUCACUCAAAAGCAAUUGCAAGAAUGGGUUCAUAGUAACUAUGGUUUGCAGGUGAGUCAAGCGACAAUAUCGAAUACAGUUAAGCGGUUUUUAGAGUAUCUCUCAAUUGAGUCAUUUUUCAAGAAACCUUCAUAAAUCAUUCAUGUAAUAUGCUAUAUAUAAGGAAUUAUUAAUUUAUAUUUUAUAUGGGGUCUAAAGAAAUUAUCAAAAAUGUAUUAUCUUAUAAUUUUAGUGAAUUAUUAAUUUAGCACCCUAUCCCCGAGUCGGAACCGGCAAAAAAUAUUAUAUUAGAGAGUUUAUUAAAUAAUCGAGUAUUAAUUUAUCGAGUUUCUACUAUAUAUAAAUAAAUGUGGUUGAUAAAGCUAAUUAUAAGUCUUCACUAAAGUUGAUUCCACAAAAUUCAAUUUCCCCCAAUUAUUGAUUGGUAAUUGAUUGAUUAAUUUGUUGAUUGAUCAUCUAGGGUUUGUGAUUAAAGGUCAGAUUUUUAUUGCUAUUUUGGUUAUGCUUUUGUUGUUUUUGUGUUUCUUUACUGAGCUUAUCAAAUGGGGUUCCAAGUAAAGAAGUCAGCAACCAAUCUGCUGGUCAAACUAAGAGACUUCUUCGUGUACGGAAAAAAGCUUCAGGUGAUUUGACUCCAACAACUCCAAAAGCUGUUAAGGCAAAACAUGCUGUGCAUGAUGAAGUAAAUUUACAUGUCUGAUACACAUGUUAAGCUUCAGAAGACAUUGGAACGAAUUUUGAUGCACCAAAGUUGCUUUUGAAUGCAUUGCAUGGACUACUUAGAGGAGUAAAUUUUUCUGAGUGUAACUUUUAAUAGUAUUUCUUGAUUUUGGUAGGAGGAUGAUUGUUUACAAUCUUAAAAGUGAGGUUUUUGUUUACAUACAAUAUUGUUUAUCUUUUUUACCUUGUGUAAAAUGUAUGUUGGAGAUUCUGCGUUCAGCUAGCUUGCAAAAAAAGAAAUAAAUAAAUAACU